UGCGUAGGCGGAUUAAUAAGUCAGUGGUGAAAUCUUUCGGCUCAACCGAGAAACUGCCAUUGAUACUGUUAAUCUUGAGUUCGGUUGAGGUAGGCGGAAUGUGUAAUGUAACGGUGAAAUGCUUAGAUAUUACACAGAACACCAAUUGCGUAGGCAGCUUACUAGACCGACACUGACGCUGAGGCACGAAAGCGUGGGGAGCGAACAGGAUUAGAUACCCUGGUAGUCC
rnacentral:rRNA from 1 species